rnacentral:rRNA from 1 species
AUUCGUCUCUCUCCUCCCUAGUUUUCAGCAUGUAUCCUUUUUUUUUUUGAUCCUGGCUCAGGAUGAACGCUAGCGGGAGGCCUAACACAUGCAAGCCGAGCGGUAGAGUCUCUUCGGGGACUUGAGAGCGGCGCACGGGUGCGGAACACGUGUGCAACCUGCCUUUAUCUGGGGGAUAGCCUUUCGAAAGGAAGAUUAAUACCCCAUAAUAUUUAGAAUGGCAUCAUUUUAAAUUGAAAACUCCGGUGGAUAGAGAUGGGCACGCGCAAGAUUAGAUAGUUGGUGAGGUAACGGCUCACCAAGUCUGCGAUCUUUAGGGGGCCUGAGAGGGUGAUCCCCCACACUGGUACUGAGACACGGACCAGACUCCUACGGGAGGCAGCAGUGAGGAAUAUUGGACAAUGGGUGAGAGCCUGAUCCAGCCAUCCCGCGUGAAGGACGACGGCCCUAUGGGUUGUAAACUUCUUUUGUAUAGGGAUAAACCUACUCUCGUGAGAGUAGCUGAAGGUACUAUACGAAUAAGCACCGGCUAACUCCGUGCCAGCAGCCGCGGUAAUACGGAGGGUGCAAGCGUUAUCCGGAUUUAUUGGGUUUAAAGGGUCCGUAGGCUGAUGUGUAAGUCAGUGGUGAAAUCUCACAGCUUAACUGUGAAACUGCCAUUGAUACUGCAUGUCUUGAGUGUUGUUGAAGUAGCUGGAAUAAGUAGUGUAGCGGUGAAAUGCAUAGAUAUUACUUAGAACACCAAUUGCGAAGGCAGGUUACUAAGCAACAACUGACGCUGAUGGACGAAAGCGUGGGGAGCGAACAGGAUUAGAUACCCUGGUAGUCCACGCCGUAAACGAUGCUAACUCGUUUUUGGGAUGUAAAUUUCAGAGACUAAGCGAAAGUGAUAAGUAGCCACCUGGAGUAUGAUCAAC